rnacentral:rRNA from 1 species
UGGGGAAUAUUGGACAAUGGGCGAAAGCCUGAUCCAGCCAUGCCGCGUGUGUGAAGAAGGUCUUCGGAUUGUAAAGCACUUUAAGUUGGGAGGAAGGGCAUUUACCUAAUACGUAAGUGUUUUGACGUUACCGACAGAAUAAGCACCGGCUAACUCUGUGCCAGCAGCCGCGGUAAUACAGAGGGUGCAAGCGUUAAUCGGAAUUACUGGGCGUAAAGCGCGCGUAGGUGGUUUGUUAAGUUGGAUGUGAAAUCCCCGGGCUCAACCUGGGAACUGCAUUCAAAACUGACAAGCUAGAGUAUGGUAGAGGGUGGUGGAAUUUCCUGUGUAGCGGUGAAAUGCGUAGAUAUCAAGAGGAACACCUGAGGUGAAGACGGGUUGCUGGGCUGACACUGACGCUGAGGCGCGAAAGCCAGGGGAGCAAACGGGAUUAGAUACCCCCGUAGUCCCUGAGCGGGCUGGCAAGGCGCAU